AAUGCGCUUUCCAUAAGUUUUUGGUAAUACGUUUUUCAGUUAAUCAAACUAAAAGAAAAGUAAAUUUUUACAUAAUCAUUAGAUAAUUUUUCUAAAAAAAAGUUGAUCAGAAAUAAUUGCAAUCUAAUAUUUCUGUGUAAAACAAAAAUUAUUCCAUAAAUAUUUUCUAGAAUUACAACAUAUACUGAGGCAAAUCCUAAAGUGAUUUUCCCCGUGUACAUACAGACCACAGUCGUUAUUACAUCGGGUGGCGCUUGAACGUGCUAAUCCAAAAUACACGAUCCGUCUUCAGCGGUUGAUAGCUGUGCAAAAAAUGUGUUGUUCAACGUAAUAUUCACAGUUUCAUUAAAAGAAUAAUCCUCAUGAUGGUUAUCUUAUGGCGCUAUUAUUUCAAAAGUAACGUUUGGUGCUGGCCGAGAAAUGGACGUGUAAAGACAUAACUACUGUUACACAGAGUCGUUUCGAAUUUCGCGUGUGUGAUCGCUACAGUUAACAUAAAGGACACGUUACAUGAGCAUUUAUUUUUUAAUAUAAAUUGAAGUUGACAGCUUUGGAAACAAUAUUAAAGAUAUUACUUUGGUAGUAAACACAGUGUAAAUUUAUUUCUGCUGAAACAGACUGAACGUGUCAAAUGAUAUUUAAAAAAACUCAAGUUUCGUACGCUGUUCAAUGUACACGAACGCCUAGACGUUGUAUUUCUAUAAUAUUUUCGAGAUAAUUUCAAUGAAAGUUAAAUUAUCAACUAAAUGGCAAUGCAAUAGAUUUCUAAUGCAUACAUGAGAGAAUUGUUGAGCGUUGGUAUGUUUACCAAGUAUUAAGAUUGAAAUCGAGUAGCGAACACUAUUUGAACUGUUAGCAAUAUUUUUUAUUUUACAACUACCGAAAGUGGAAAUAGUGCGAUUUUUCACGGAUACGUGGCAUGAGUACAAAAUUGUAGAUACUCUCCGAAUAUAGCGAGCUAGGUCCACGAAAUGGUAAAGAAUUUUCAACUGUCGGAAAAACAAAGUAUGACCUAGUUGUUUACUCUUAUCCGGUAUAACGUGAGUGAAAUAAUUAUUCGAUUUCAACUCCAUUCUAGUGCAUAUAACCAUGUUUAUUCUUUUCUAAUUUAAAACUAACGAAACGAUAAGUGUUCAAUGGAUUACAUUAAAACUUUCCGGAAAGUUCUGUACAAAACUCUGGUAUUGUUAUAAAUAAAUGUAUCCAUAUGAUUAAACGUAUUGAAUAAAAUAUAUUUAACGACGAAUUGAACGUUUUU